rnacentral:tRNA from 2 species
GCGCCUGUGGCUCAGCUGGAUAGAGCAUCUGACUACGAAUCAGAGGGUCGGGAGUUCGAAUCUCUCCAGGCGCACCA